GAUGAACGCUGGCGGCGUGCCUAAUACAUGCAAGUCGAGCGAACAGACGAGGAGCUUGCUCCUCUGACGUUAGCGGCGGACGGGUGAGUAACACGUGGAUAACCUACCUAUAAGACUGGGAUAACUUCGGGAAACCGGAGCUAAUACCGGAUAAUAUAUUGAACCGCAUGGUUCAAUAGUGAAAGAGGGUUUUGCUUUCACUUAUAGAUGGAUCCGCGCCGCAUUAGCUAGUUGGUAAGGUAACGGCUUACCAAGGCAACGAUGCGUAGCCGACCUGAGAGGGUGAUCGGCCACACUGGAACUGAGACACGGUCCAGACUCCUACGGGAGGCAGCAGUAGGGAAUCUUCCGCAAUGGGCGAAAGCCUGACGGAGCAACGCCGCGUGAGUGAUGAAGGUCUUCGGAUCGUAAAACUCUGUUAUUAGGGAAGAACAAAUGUGUAAGUAACUAUGCACGUCUUGACGGUACCUAAUCAGAAAGCCACGGCUAACUACGUG
rnacentral:rRNA from 1 species